ensembl:lncRNA
CACAUUUAGCAUUUGGGAUUUAUGACUUAAUGUGGCAGCGGUACCACAUAAUGCAUAUGUAGUUGAAUAUAUGCUCAAGUUCACUGCUUCUCUGAUGGAAAUAAAAGUUCUUCAACUGAGCCCCAGCUCAUGAACUGCAUUACAAUACGACUUAUACAGAGAAGAGGUCACAGCCUUCUCUUGAAGCUACCUGAAUACUGAACAGGAAUGAGGAAGUAUUUAUCUGCUUAUGAAGUGUCCUGGGUACGUGCGCUACAUCCAGUCUAGAGCAUGUAUAAGCCAUUUGUUUGAGGCAGUGAACAGCAUCCCCAAGUGCCACACGAUGGCAGCCUCUCAGAGGACUGAAAGCUUAAAAGGCCAUUCCUGGUGGUGCAGCCUAAAUUUUAAGCCUGAAGAUAGAAUUUACAAAAUGAGGGUAAUGAAAUGUGGCUGUGGAUUUCUGCUUUCCGUCACAUCACACGUAGAAGAGGCUGCAGGGUGACCCUUUUUUUCCUCGUGCACAUUUGGGGUUGGUUUUUUUUGCUCGCUUUACUUAGCAUACUUGCAAUGAAACUUCUAAGUAAAAAUAGAAACUUUAAAAAAAAAAACAUUGAAAAGCAGUAAUUACUGCUGGUUGUUGAAAACGGUGUCCAUGUGUGUACCGUCGGUCACUGGGAAAGCUUCUGUGUGAAGAAGUUUUGUUUGGGUGGAGUUGACUACCUGUGUAGUACAUGCAGAAGGAGCGUGUGACCUCAGAUUUAAUAUAAAAGAAUAAUAAAACAUAUUUUUCUGCUGUAGUGCUUGAAGGUGUGUGACAGAGCCUGACAAAGUGAGCUUGGUUCUGCACAAGCACACAGCAGAUCUGCAUGCUAAGCCCAGGCAGUGGAGCCAUUGAGGCCAAUUGAUUUGCAGAUUUCUCUGCAGUUAUGUAUCAGCACUGGAACUGUCUUAAAUGAAGGCAAACUUGAAAAAAUUGGCAAUGUAUUAUUAGUCCAUGACAGGUGUAGAAUGUCACCAUUCUCCAUGGUGAACUGAAGUAUUGAUUUUUCUUUUUCUUUUCCCUUGGCAAUAAGUCUGCAGGAAAAAAAAAUACAAUCUUUGCUGGGCUUGUUAUCUGAAAUCAAGUAAUGCACCACGUGCCUGACAGCCCAAUAAAACCCAAGUAUGAAUGUCCGUACAGCUUCAACUGUAUCAUUUCCACUCCUAUAUGUAAGUCAGUGACUUGGCUGAAAUGGGAGCAGAAGGGGAGCAGGAGUCCAGAAUGUUAUUAGAAUAAUAGAAAGUAGGCUUUUGUGUUUGUGGGUUUUUCUGUGUAAGCCAAGGACAGAAUUAGUCCUUCAUGAACUGUUUAAACUGCUUGGAAGAAGCCAGUUCAGUAGUGUUAAGAAUGAUGCUAUUUCUGUCAUGCAAUCAGUGCUUGAAGGGAGUGCAAUAUCUGGGUUUUUGGGGCAGUCCUUGGGGGACAUGUAGGUGUGGAGGCCAGAAACACUUGUCUUGAAAAGGGGGAAGUGUUCCUCAUCCAAGAGACCCAGAACUCCCUUUCCUGAGGAAGUCAGGAAGACUUUCUGGGAAAUCCUGUCCCUACAUCUACCACAUGGGCAUGCUCAGAAGAGAGGCAGUGCACAUUUGGCACUUGUCCCAGCACGUGCAGAAACCAGGGCACGUAGGAGAGAUGGGCACAGACAUGCACUUAGUUGUGACCAGAGCUGUGCUGAAUGAUUGACUUUAUUCUAUUCUGGUUUAGUGCUAAGAGUUCUCGGUAGAUGGGGAGGUGUUAUAGAUGGAGGACCUUCUACCCAGCUGUGGGGAUGCUAAUCCCCAAGUUAACAAGUGCUGGCAUGAAACAUCACUGAAUGCCACCCCACCUCACAUACUGCCUAUAAACGUUUCACUGCAUUCUUGUUCUGAAUUGCACAUCUCUUGAAAAGCAGUACAAUGUAAUUAAUGCAAAUAGCAGUCAUAACAAUCAGGAAUUACUUCCAAAAUUAGCAUAACCGAGUUGGCAGAGAAUAAAAGCAGUUAUCUCACUUGGAAAAAAUUUCUUCACCCCAAAUGUUAAUCAUGGGAGAAAUUCUAAGAUUAUUUAAUCUUUUAUGUCCUUAUUAUAAUAAAACUGCUGCGAACCUAGAAAUUUAUUUUAGGGCUGUAAGUCUACACUUACAGAGCAUGCUUGUUGUAAGCAUAAUUUGCACACUUCAGUUCAUGGAAACAAACAGAAAUUUCAGCUCAUAUAUUGUCAGUGCUUAGAAUAACUCCAUCAAAGUUCUCAUAGGUCUGAGGCCCAUGAGUACUUUCUGUACUAUAGUGGUGCAUUUGGCAACAUUUAUCCUUUGAUCAUCAUUAACAUAAUCAAUAGCUUUCUUGGCUGUAGAUGGAAAAGCACCAUGGGAGCUGGCUGUGGGCAACAAGUUCCUUCUGACCAUACAGAUAAUAAUUAGAUUAUUUUGCAUGCUGUAGCAAUUGGACUGAUCAUUACAAUGGGAAAAGGUGUUUCACCAGAGGUGUAACAACAGAAGGAUCAGCAUGAUAGAGAAGUGCCAUAAGGAAAGAAGAUUGCUUAUCUGUAUCAGAAGAUUCCAGGCUCACAUGGGAAAGCUCCACCAAGGAGGGAUCUCCAGAAAGAGAUCCUUCCCCUCAAUUGCUGUCAGCCCUUCAGUGAGUUCUAAGAGGUACACCCUUCCAGUCACACAGGUGAAUGGCCUUCACAUGUGCUCCCAGGGCUGAGUCCUUUCCCCAGGUGCUCAAUCAGUGGUUCAGGCCAUGACUCAACAGUUCCCAUACACAUGCAUACAUUGAAGUGCUCAAGCUGUGCUCCUGAGGAAAGCCAGACAAAACAAGGUGAUGCCCCUCUGGAAUAAAUGUGAACAGCCAACAAUAGUCUCCAUGGGCUGUAAUCAGGGAAGAGUAUCUGAGUUCAUUUCUUAAAACCACCUCCAGUAUGUAUUAAAUAGAACUGUAGAGCCACUAAGAUUAGAAAGACCUUUAAGUUCAUCUAGUCCAACCUCCAACCCAUCCCCACCAUGCUCGCUAAUCAUGUCCCUCAGUGCCACAUCUCCAUGGUUCUUCAACACCCCUAGGGAUGGUGGUGCCACCACCUCCCUGGGCAGUCUGUUCUGAUGGCUCACCACUCUUUCUGAGAAGGCCUUUUUUCCUAAUAUCCAACCUGAAUCUCCCCAUGCACAACAUAAGGUUUCAUUUUUUCUUUUUUUUUUUUCUUUCUUCUGCUGCUGCUUUAGUCAAGUUCCUGCAGCUAUGCAGUGUUGUACCUAUCAAGCAUCAGAACAGUCAUGAUGUUUUGGAUUUUUCAGAUGGAGGAAAUUGUAAAGGAAGAAUUAACACUUUGUCAUUAUUGCUUUUUUAAUUAGUCACGCCAGUCAAUUUUUGUGGUGUGUGGGUCAAAGCCCCCAUGGGUGCUACUUAUUUAGUGAACAGACAGCCUGGAUUAAUGUUGUGAGGGUUUCUGGAAGCAUCUGAUUGACAUUCAGGGAUUUAAUGCUCAGAUUAAUCCAGUAAUUCUAAUUUUAUAAUACGAUGUGUGUCCUUGCAUAAUUUCCUCUUUGGAAGCAAAGAACAGCAUAUAUCCCUCAUGCAAUUGCUACAGCUGUAACAACUCCUUCGUAUUUUAAUGGCACUGAAUGUGCUUAGCAGCUGUCUUGUAAAAUACACAGGAGGAGUGCUUGAAAACCAGGGAUCAUAACGUGGCUGGGAACAACCCUGAAAACCUUUAUUAACCACUUCUGUAACCAACGUACCCCUUAGGAAAAAUGAGAUAUUUAAUGCUUGAUACACUAUGGCACAGGAAAUCCAGUUCCUAACCUGCUUAACAGUUUCUCUAGAAUGAGUCUGGGAGCCUGGGAGAUUUGAAAGAGGGAUGCUGUCUCGUAAUCUGCCUAUUUGUCCUGUUUAGUAGGAAUUGAAAUGCUUAAGGAGGAAAUGUUUAAAACAAAGCACCGCAGAUACAGUGUGAGACAUAGCUGUAUUAAGAUUCAGUGACUGAACCUGACUGUGCUGUCAUACUUCUGUGAAGAUGCAAAAAUGGACCAGCUCUGACAGACCAGUCCUCUGAAAAGAAGCUAAAAUUAGUUUGGAAUUUGUUCCUAUCCCUGCUGCUGGUCUGAAACUGUCUGAGGAAGAAAGAGAACUCAAACUCUAUGGCAUAUCUAGAAAUCCCGUGGACUGGCAUGUCUUCUUUUCCAGGUUAGCUUAGGAAGAGUUGAGUGUUGUGUUCUUUUUCUCUCAUGUCUUCAUCAAUCAUUUCAGUGUCAAUUCAAAACAAAAGCUUUACUGUAAGUGUCUGCUGGGGAACAGCACAAACUGAAGGAGAUGCUUGUGUCUGGCAGCAGUUUCCAUUUGUUGCUGUGGGCAGUAAAGCCAGGUCUUCCAGUUUGCUUUUUUUUAUGACAAAACCAUUAAGCCUCUCUGUUUCAGGAGUGCUCUGCAUUAAUGAGAACAUCUCAACAUAAAGCCAUGUGACUAUGCGGGUUAGGCGAUUGUUUGAGGCCUUUUAGUUCAAAUACAUGGACAAAAGAGAUUUCUGUUCUCCAGGAAAAAUACAUAUAUAGAUUUUGAGCUGCACUAAUGCAAAACUACAGCAGUACUGAACUUUUUAUUGCAGAAAUUAAUGCUAU